GACGAACGCUGGCGGCGUGCCUAAUACAUGCAAGUCGAGCGGACCAAAGGGAGCUUGCUCCUGGAGGUUAGCGGCGAACGGGUGAGUAACACGUGGGCAACCUGCCUGUAAGACUGGGAUAACAUCGAGAAAUCGGUGCUAAUACCGGAUAAUAAAAAGAACUGCAUGGUUCUUUUUUGAAAGAUGGUUUCGGCUAUCACUUACAGAUGGGCCCGCGGCGCAUUAGCUAGUUGGUGAGGUAACGGCUCACCAAGGCGACGAUGCGUAGCCGACCUGAGAGGGUGAUCGGCCACACUGGGACUGAGACACGGCCCAGACUCCUACGGGAGGCAGCAGUAGGGAAUCUCCGCAAUGGACGAAAGUCUGACGGAGCAACGCCGCGUGAGUGAUGAAGGUUUUCGGAUCGUAAAACUCUGUUGUUAGGGAAGAACAAGUGCCGUUCGAAAGGGCGGCACCUUGACGGUACCUAACGAGAAAGCCACGGCUAACUACGUGCCAGCAGCCGCGGUAAAG
rnacentral:rRNA from 1 species